rnacentral:rRNA from 1 species
UACGUAGGUGGCGAGCGUUGUCCGGAUUUAUUGGGCGUAAAGCGCGCGCAGGCGGUGCGCUAAGUCUGCGGUGAAAUCUCCCUGGCUCAACCGGGAGGGGGCCGUGGAGACUGGCGCACUGGAGGGACCUAGAGGCCGGUGGAAUUCCCGGUGUAGUGGUGAAAUGCGUAGAUAUCGGGAGGAACACCUGUGGCGAAAGCGGCGCACUGGACCACAACUGACGCUGAGGCGCGAAAGCUAGGGGAGCAAACAGG